UAGGGAAUCUUCCGCAAUGGACGCAAGUCUGACGGAGCAACGCCGCGUGAGUGAAGAAGGGUUUCGGCUCGUAAAACUCUGUUGUUAAGGAAGAAUGACAGGCAGAGUAACUGCUGCCUGUGUGACGGUACUUAACCAGAAAGCCACGGCUAACUACGUGCCAGCAGCCGCGGUAAUACGUAGGUGGCAAGCGUUAUCCGGAAUUAUUGGGCGUAAAGCGCGCGUAGGCGGUUUUUUAAGUCUGAUGUGAAAGCCCCCGGCUCAACCGGGGAGGGUCAUUGGAAACUGGGGAACUUGAGUGCAGAAGAGGAGAGUGGAAUUCCAUGUGUAGCGGUGAAAUGCGCAGAGAUAUGGAGGAACACCAGUGGCGAAGGCGGCUCUCUGGUCUGUAACUGACGCUGAUGUGCGAAAGCGUGGGGGUCAAACAGG
rnacentral:rRNA from 1 species